rnacentral:ncRNA from 1 species
GAAGUAAAAAGUGGUAACAAGGUUUCCGUAGGUCGAGUUCAGCCUACCACAGCGGCGCGCAGCGCCUGCUAGUCAGACUCGUUCUGGCGACACGCUCAAUGUGCGGAGAGAGCCUCGCAGUAGGCAAAUCCGCAGCCCACCGCCCUUACCCGGCGGUAGGCUCAGAGACUCAAUGAGUGUGGGUUUGGCGCAAAGCCAGGCUUAAGAUAGAGCCCAGCCCGGCAUGCAAUUGCUGGGACCAACUGGAACCUGCGGAAGGAUCAUUA